rnacentral:rRNA from 1 species
GAGUUUGAUCCUGGCUCAGAUUGAACGCUGGCGGUAUGCUUAACACAUGCAAGUCGAACGGUAACAGCAGAGUUUGUUCUGGCUGACGAGUGGCGGACGGGUGCGUAACGCGUGGGAAUCUACCUUAUAGUGGGGGAUAGCCCGGAGAAAUCCGGAUUAAUACCGCAUAAGCCCUAUGGGGGAAAAGGGGCCUCUCCUUGGAAGCUCUUGCUAUUAGAUGAGCCCGCGUAAGAUUAGCUUGUUGGUGGGGUAAUAGCCUACCAAGGCGACGAUCUUUAGCUGGUCUGAGAGGAUGAUCAGCCACACUGGGACUAGACACGGCCCAGACUCCUAUGGGAGGCAGCAGUGGGGAAUAUUGGACAAUGGGCGCAAGCCUGAUCCAGCAAUACCGCGUGUGUGAAGAAGGCCUGAGGGUUGUAAAGCACUUUCAAUUGUGAAGAAAAGCCUUAAAUUAAUACUUUAGGGUCUUGACGUUAACUUUAGAAGAAGCACCGGCUAACUCCGUGUUAGUAGUUGCGGUAAUACGGAGGGUGCAAGCGUUAAUCGGAAUUACUGGGCGUAAAGCGCACGUAGGCGGUUAGGUAAGUCAGAUGUGAAAGCCCCGGGCUCAACCUGGGAACUGCAUUUGAUACUGCUUAACUAGAGUAUAGUAGAGGCAAGUGGAAUUCCAGGUGUAGCGGUGAAAUGCGUAGAUAUCUGGAGGAACAUCAGUGGCGAAGGCGACUUGCUGGACUAAUACUGACGCUGAGGUGCGAAAGCGUGGGGAGCAAACAGGAUUAGAUACCCUGGUAGUCCACGCCGUAAACGAUGUCAACUAGCCGUUGGGAGCAUUUAAGCUUUUAGUGGCGCAGCUAACGCAUUAAGUUGACCGCCUGGGGAGUACGCGCGCAAGCGUAAAACUCAAAGGAAUUGACGGGGGCCCGCACAAGCGGUGGAGCAUGUGGUUUAAUUCGAUGCAAUGUGAAGAGCCUUACCAGCCCUUGACAUCCUGCGAACUUUCUAGAGAUAGAUUGGUGCCUUUGGGAACGCAGUGACAGGUGCUGCAUGGCUGUCGUCAGCUCGUGUUGUGAGAUGUUGGGUUAAGUCCCGCAACGAGCGCAACCCUUGUCCUUAGUUGCCAGCAUGUAAUGGUGGGAAUUCUAAGGAGACUGCCGGUGAUAAACCGGAGGAAGGUGGGGAUGACGUCAAGUCAUUAUGGCCCUUAUGGGCUGGGCUACACACGUGCUACAAUGGCAAGUACAGAGGGCUGCAAUCCCGCGAGGGGGAGCCAAUCCCACAAAGCUUGUCUUAGUCCGGAUUGGAGUCUGCAACUCGACUCCAUGAAGUCGGAAUCGCUAGUAAUCGUAGAUCAGCACUGCUACGGUGAAUACGUUCCCGGGCCUUGUACACACCGCCCGUCACACCAUGGGAGUGGGUUGCAAAAGAAGUGGGUAGCUUAAUAAUGGGCGCUCACCACUUUGUGAUUCAUGACUGGGGUGAAGUUGAAACAAGGUA